CGUAAUAGUAAUUGAUUUUAGAAAUUGAAACCUACGGUUUCAUAUAUGUGGGAGUAAUGGUGUUUUGAAGUAGUUUAACGGUUGUUGGGUUAUCUUGCUAACAAGUACUACUUUAUCAAUUUGGUUUUUUUUUGUUUCAAAUUACUGAGUUUCGGGUUGAAUUUGUUUUUUUAUGUAAUUUUGUUGAUGAGUUUUUGCUGGGUAAUUGAAUUCUAUUUUUGUAGAUUGCUUAAUAACCUGGGGAAAAAUGUCAUUGAUUUUGGGUUGUAGGCACGUUAUCAAACAUGAAGGUGAUUGCCUGAACAUCCAAACAAAUCCCUCGGGUCUAAUAAGACUAUGGUUUAAGUGUUAUUCCUGUUGAUAAUUUUGUUCUUGAUCUCAAUGAUUGUAAUUGUGAAACUGAGGAAGGACUCAGAAGAUUCGGAAGGGCCAUCCAAGACAGUUCCACUCAAAGUUCUUCAAAGAGAAAGAAGGCUGCUACAAGGAGAAUUGUUGCAGGAGAGCAGGGAUGCAAUAACGGCCAAACAUGCAUUCCUCCUGUUUACAUCAUAUCCACAAAGUCAUGCUCCCAAGUUGGGAAGCACCUGCAAAUUGGGAGGAAGUCCUUGAAGAUGCACCAGUAGACGCUACGGGAUGACAUAAAGCUGGGAGUCUUCAUCCACCAAAGAUGGUGAUUUAUUAUGGUAGCUUGAAAGUGAUUCAAGGGGUUUCUUUUUGAAGAUUCAAACUUUAUAAAGGUGGAGUGGGUAUGUGCUUCGAGCUGUCACUAAAGAAAAACGACAAUUAAGGUGAAAGAGGUAGUCAAGUAAACAUUUAGAGGUAGCCAAUUUGAAGGGGUUUUUCUAUUUGGUUAUAUGAGUAUUGCCUCCCAAGCCCAAAAAAACAUUUAGAAGCGGAUCAACAUAAUAAAGAAGUCAAGUAAUGAUCCGGUUUGGUUCUUAUUUAUCACUCUCUAAAUCUAAAGAGGCUUUACAAGGUGGUCUGUGAAGACUAUGCCACCGUCGGCUAAAGCUUUCAAGUUGGUGGGGGAUGUACGAACUAGCCUUACCAGUGCAAGGGAAAAGAGCUACUGCUCAGUGCAAAAAGAAGAUCCAGCGGUGUUUCAGUCAAUGUGUAUAAGGCAAUUCAGAUGAGAUUAAACUUUAGAGUUUAGAAGGUUAUGUGCAAUGGUUCAUUUAAGUUAUUUGACUUAUUUCUAAUUUAGAAGGGGAAUGUGCUGCUUAGGAGAACAUUUUUUUUUAGAGCGGUAAAUAGUCUACAUGGCAAUGUUCUGCAUUUAGUGUAACUUAUUCAGAAUAAGUUUCGAGGGUGCCUUGCAUGGUACUUACCUCAAAGAAGUACCAAGGGGCUAAAGCUUGGAGAAGGUGAGGUUGAGUUGGUGGUUGCUAUGCAGGGUAUAUAUCCUCUUUAUCCUUAUUUUUUUCAUGAUAAUUGGGUGUGAAGUUUAUUGAGUGGAUUAUUGUUUUUCUUUCUGAUCACUGGGGAGAUGCGCGCAUGGUCAUGGAAGACACAAACAUCUCCAUCAAACCUAAGAUUGAUUUUGACAAGUUUGCUUAAAAUAGGGCUUCCACACUGUAGGAGUAAGAAAUGGGAAGAUAGAUAAAACACCUAAUUUGGGUUAUUGAUUCGUACAUUGCUCUUUUGAUUGCUUUCAUUGGACAAUUUUGAGGGUCAUUGAUACAUUGUUUUUUGAUACACAUGUAAUUUUAGUUAUGUUGUUGAUGGGAUUAGAGUGUAUUAUGCUCUCAUGGCUUCUACAAACUUUUGGAGUUGGAAGUUCUCAUAAAAAGGUAAUGGCAUUUCUUUCAUACAUGUGGUCAUGCAUAGAUGGUUAAGUACUUCCAUAUAGUGAUUUUCCUCUUUAAUUGUGAUACAAUUAGUUCCUACAUAUGCCUGCUUCAAGAUAAUGAGUCUGGUGGAUGGACAACAUUUGAAUAUUAAUAUUCAAUUUUUAGUUAACUUCACAUUAUUACUGAUUUUUAUAAGAUAAUGGUUACUGAGUUUUCUUUAACAAAAAGUUGAUGAGGAUGGGGUUUAAGGACCUCAUGGAACCUGGCAAUCCGCAGGUUUCGAACAAGUAAGAGAGUAUAAAGCUGGAAAUCCACAGGGGUGAUGAGAUCCCGCAACAUGGACGCCAAGAGUACAUGGAUCUUCCCGCCUCAUUAAUGAUGGUUAAUUUUGCUGUCGAAAGUGUCGGAUGGUUGAAAGAUUGUGUGUGGCUCAAUGGAGUCUGAAGAUGGUGAUGAUGGUUAUUCUUACUGAGGAUAGUGCAACUCACAAAUACAACACUUGCGUGAUGCUAGCAUGAAGGUGAAAGUAAUACUCAUCUUUGAAUAUGUUCAGUCUUCCUGUGGCAUCAUGAAAAAAGAAAAGUUGCUUAGUUCGUCAGAAUCUCAACCACAAACAUCUCUCAUUUCUGGGCAGAUGGAACUUAUGUUAAUUAGGUACUAAUAAUAAAUGGUUUAUUCAUGGAUUUCAUCUGUAGUAUUAUCCAUAUGUUUUUAGAGGUAACAGGUGAAACAAAUGAAAAUAGUGAAAAAAAGCAACAAAGUUGCAAGAGCUUCUGGAUAGUAUUGCAUAAGGUAUCUGUUCUUUUAUUGUUUGUUCUGCUUGAGGUUAUAUGGUACUACAAAGGUUGAUGUAGUUAUGGUAAGAUAAUUUUAUCCCUAGAUAUUUCCA